rnacentral:snoRNA from 1 species
CCCCCUUUAAAAGCAUUCAUUGGGCCUUUUGCUUAUGUCUCACAAAGUCAUCAAGAAAGGGCAGAGUAAAAGCACCAAUUUUGGAGGUUGCAUGAUAUUCGCUGUGGGAAAG